AUUGAACGCUGGCGGCAGGCCUAACACAUGCAAGUCGAGCGGGGUUUUCGGACCUAGCGGCGGUCGGGUGAGUCAUGCGUAGGAAGCUGCCCGAUAGAGGGGGAUACCAGUUGGAAACGACUGUUAAUACCGCAUAAUGUCUACGGACCAAAGUGUGGGACCUUCGGGCCACAUGCUAUCGGAUGCGCCUACGUUGGAUUAGCUAGUUGGUGAGGUAAUGGCUCACCAAGGCGACGAGCUCUAGCUGGUUUGCGAGGAUGAUCAGACACACUGGAACUGAGACACGUUCCAGACUCCUACGGGAGGCAGCAGGGGGGAAUAUUGGACAAGGGGCGCAAGCCUGAUCCAGCCAUGCCGCGUGUGUGAAGAAGGCCUUCGGGUUGUAAAGCACUUUCAGCGAGGAGGAAGGGGUUGUAGUUAAUAGCUGCAACCUUUGACGUUACUCGCAGAAGAAGCACCGGCUAACUCUGUGCCAGCCGCCGCCGUAAGAC
rnacentral:rRNA from 1 species